rnacentral:lncRNA from 1 species
ACAUCUAUCAAUAAUUAAAUAAAACACAAGUCCUAAUAAACUUGUAAAGAGAAAAUGGCGGGAAAAGUGUGUAUGGUGAUGGCAUUGAUAAUGAUAGGGUGUGUUUUACAAGCAUGCAAUGGAGCCAAUGUUGAUGAGAGCCAACCAACACAAGAUCCAAAAUUCGAUUGCUUCAGAACAUGUUCCAUAGCCUGUGGCAAACAAAACAAACCUUGUUACGAUGAAUGUUUGACCAAAUGUGGUCUCCCACAGAGACUUCCUAGACCAACAACAUCUUCAUCACCUUCCUCCACCGCUUGAUCUGAUCUUAUUCAAUUUGUGAUUUGUGUCUUUAUUGCUAAGGAUGUCAUCUAUUUGUUUUUCUUUAGCAUGAAAAUUAAAUGAGAUUUAUAUGAUAAAGUUUUUGAUUAUAUAUCUGGUUUUAUCUUGACUUAUUCAAACUAGUUAGUACGUUCCAGCAUAAAAUGAUUCAAGACUCGUUAGCUUUCUUUCAAAUAAAACCACUAAAUAAACAAUUUGGAUUAUAUUAAAACGAAACAAUUCAAUUAUCAUGAUACUGUUCCUUCUGUUAAAACACAUGUGAUCACAGAUUCCCAAUUCAAAAGAACAAAAUGGCUGACUCAUUGUUUAGACAGAAGCUAGGUCAAAGACUUGGUUCGGUUGGUUUCUUCUUGAAAGGAACUUUGGAUGUGCACAAGACGUUGAAGGUUGUUUGGUUGGUGAAGAUGUUUACAUUGUUCAGUCAAGGCCACAGCCUCUGUAGAAUAUUUUCCUUUUUUUAUGUUUUAUCAAGCGAAUUAUAAUAAAAAUGUCGGAAACAAUUCUGCAUUACGUCACUUCCAUAUGUUAAGUAAGUUUAAUUAUGAUACAUACAGUAUAUAAUUGCUAUUCAUAUCUCUUGCUCACAUAGUGUUUUGGCUAAUUUCAAGAGAUCACCUUGAUUUACUGAAUGGCACAACGAGAAAGAAACAAGGAAAAUAAAAAUCCUACAUGACAUGACCAUCUCGAUCAGGUACUUGCCAUCUAUUUUCGUAGUUUUAACUCUUUUGAAACACUAAAAUCAAACAGACAGAAAUCACGAAUCUAUUCAAGUCAAACUAAACUAAAACAACAAACGCACAUAAAUAACAAAUCUACUAAACAUAGAGGCAAAUACUCAGUAUAUAAACGCCUUCCUCUCCACCACCUAUUUGCACAUCUUAUCAGACUAUCACUACUUGUUACAUCUUAAAGAUAUUUCCAAUUCAUUAAAUUACAAAAAUAAUUGAUUAAAGAAUUAUUAAUGUUUCUAUAUCAAAAGAUCUGAGUUUCAAGUUUCAGAAAAAAAAAUUAUGUUUUUAACGGAGACAAUAUUUACUGUAACAGUUAAGGAUUGCAGUAAAGUCUAAAUGCCCGUAAGACAAGUAAUUGUCCGUUAUAAAAUAAUCGAUGUAGUAUUUUUUUAUAGUUUAUAAUAUUAUAAUUAACCAGGAGAAUACAAAUUCGAUCAUGUACUUGCUAUCUAUUUUCAUAGUUCUAACUUUUUGGCAAUACGAAAAUCCAAUAAUAGUUAGCCAAUCCUAUUUAUGUCAAACUAGACAUAAAUAACAAAACUAUAUUCAAAGUCAAACCAAACAAAAAUAGCAAACAACAAAAACAACCACACACAAAUAUACUAAAUAUAGAAGCAAAAAUUCAGUAUAUAAACGUCUUCCUGUCCAAUCACCUAUUUGCACAUCUCAUAUCUAUCAAUAAUUAAAUAAAACACAAGUCCUAAUAAACUUGUAAAGAGAAAAUGGCGGGAAAAGUGUGUAUGGUGAUGGCAUUGAUAAUGAUAGGGUGUGUUUUACAAGCAUGCAAUGGAGCCAAUGUUGAUGAGAGCCAACCAACACAAGAUCCAAAAUUCGAUUGCUUCAGAACAUGUUCCAUAGCCUGUGGCAAACAAAACAAACCUUGUUACGAUGAAUGUUUGACCAAAUGUGGUCUCCCACAGAGACUUCCUAGACCAACAACAUCUUCAUCACCUUCCUCCACCGCUUGAUCUGAUCUUAUUCAAUUUGUGAUUUGUGUCUUUAUUGCUAAGGAUGUCAUCUAUUUGUUUUUCUUUAGCAUGAAAAUUAAAUGAGAUUUAUAUGAUAAAGUUUUUGAUUAUAUAUCUGGUUUUUUCUUGACUUAUACAAACUAGUUAGUACGUUCCAGCAUAAAAUGAUUCAAGACUCGUUAGCUUUCUUUCAAAUAAAACCACUAAAUAAACAAUUUUGAUUAUAUUAAAACGAAACAAUUCAAUUAUCAUGAUACUGUUCCUUCUGUCAAAACAUAUGUGAUCACAGAAUCACAAUUCAAAACACACGAAACGGCUGACUCAUUGUUUAGACAGAAGCUAGGUCAAAGACGGUUUGGUUGGUUUCUUCUUGAAAGGAACUUUGGAUGUGCACAAGAUGUUGAAGGUUGUUUGGUUGGUGAAGAUGUUUACAUCAUUCAGUCAAGGCCACAACCUCUGCAGAAUAUCUUUUUUUUUAUGUGCUAUAAAGCGAACUAUAAUAAAAAUGUUCGAAAACAAUUCUCCAUAUAUGUAAUUACUAUAUUUUUUAGUCACGUUUGUAGAAUUAUCAGAUUUUAAUUUAUGAAAUAGAUAAUCGUUUUUAUAUAGACUUAAUAUUUUUAUAAUAUACACAAGAUUUUGUCAUAUCAUUGUGUUAUUUUCCUUUUAAAAAAAUACAAUAGAUAUAUGAUAAUCUCAGAACUUGCAAAGAAAUAUUAGAUUUUGUUUAUUUUAUGAAUUAAAACUGAAUCAAAAGUUGAACAUAUGACGUGAUAUUUCUUGCUAUAUGUAUGUAUAUGUAACUUUUAUAGUUUGUAAUCAUAAAAUCAUAUAAUGAUUAUUUGCUAUUCAUGUAUGUUGCUCACUUGGUGUUUUGGCUAAUUAGAAUCUCAAGCGAUCAAAAAUCUAAACCCUACAUAAGUUAAAGGAUCUUGAAAAAAAUGUAAAAUCAUGUAAAGUACCCAAAAUGGAAAAAGUAGAAAGAUCACUAGAUCUCCUCCGAAUCCAAAAACACAAUUAAUCCAGCUGAUUUUUUUUUUCACAAUUUCUUUCUCCUUUAAAUAUUCAACAUAUAUAUUUUUGAGUUUCCACAAAAUAUUUUCUUAAGAGUUCUGUAAUAUUUGUUGCUCACAAGAAAGAAAGAUAACGAGAGAGAGGGCUGAUGAAGUUCCAAGCUUGGCAGAGUCGAAGUUAACAGCUUUGGUCGUCGAUGACAACUUUGUAAAUCAAACCAUGCAUCACAAACUGCUGGACCGUCUAGGUAUUAAAAAUGACGUCGUUUGCAACGGCCAAGAAGCUGUCGACGUUCAUUGUUCCGGGAGAAACUAUGAUCUUAUUCUUAUGGACAUGGAAAUGCCCAUCUUGAACGGUAUUCAGGUAAUAUUAAUUUAUUAUAUUUUUAGCUCAUUAAAUUCACUUCGUUUAUUCAAUUCUUAUUUUUUGUUAUAAAAUUCAGAAAAGAAUAAGUUAUUACUAAUUAAUUUUUAUUUGAGAAUUUUCAUAUCCAUAAACCUUAGUAAAAGAAGUUGUAUGAAACUGUUCUAGUUAAAUGUUGGAAUAAGACUCCUUAAUACAGUUUUGUUUAUUAAUAAUGUGCAGUACCCUUUUUAUUAUUUUCUUAAAAAUAGAACCGAUGGUUUAUAUGUAUAACUAAUGGACUGUGUUUUGUUUGAUUAGGCGACAAAGAGACUAAGAGAGAUGGGGAUAGAGAGCAAGAUAGCAGGAGUAACAACUAGAGCUAACGAAGGAGAUAAGAAAGAGUUUAUGGAAGCUGGUCUUAAUGACUUUCAAGAGAAACCUCUCACCAUCUCCAAACUUUUGUCGAAUCUCCACAGACUUGACUUUCAUGUCCAAACCUAAUUAAUCUACACUAUUUGUUAGUGAUUUUUGUUAAAUCUUCACAUGUUUUCUAUAACAUACUUAUAGUUCGUAAUAUUCUUACUUCAGAAUAUAGUAAUCACCAAUAACAAUUUCGAUAAAAGUUUCCGAGCAAGUGACCAUGCUUAAUUUACAUAUAUAAUAUAUAGUUGUUUGAUAUUUUCGGUUCAUGAUUCAAAAAUUUGGUCACGUUUAUUAUGAUUUAUAAAGACAUCAUCACCUCGGCCAUUUUCUUAACCAGUCAGGAUGCUCUGUAGCGAAACGAAUAACACUUUACGAAAAGCAGCGAUGUGUCACGUGAUUAUAUAGAACUAACAUGUUUAGUUAAAUCCGAUGUAUCUUGGCCUACACUAAAAGUGCGACGUUGAAACAAAAUCUAUUUUAUCAAAUUUUAGUAUCACAAGAGAGACAUCAAAGCUCUUAAUUUGAAGAAGACUCAUGUAAAACUCACAUGUGAUUCCUAAAGGUGUGGUCCGCGAGAACCUCGACUUUUCCACAGGUUCCACGUACCGUGCGUAGUCUACUGCAUUUCUUGGACCUCUUGAGUUUUGUCUGAUGUGCCUUCCUCCUCGACCCUUCAUAGCUAUAAUAACUACGUUCAAACUCUGAGGAACUGAAAGCAAACCACAUGUGCUAGUGCUACCAAUCCAUUAUCACUUUAUUCGUUGACAAUUAGCGUUUACGCAAUGCCCAUGUGUUAAGCUAGUUUGACGCUUAGGCAUAAGGUCACAUUUCGUUCUAGAGCAUAUACCAAAUAAAGAGCAAGACAUGGUUCAGAUGUGACAACCAUUGGUUUUUGUAAAGCCUUCAUAUAUAAAGUAAAAGCUUAUUUAUUCACUUGAAAAUCGUCAAAUUUCUCUAGUGUAUGAUACAAUUCUUAUGACAACUACUAUAAGAAAUAUUUUUUUGUCAGUUUUUGUGUGUCAACAAAUUUUUUUCCUGUCAGUUUAAAUAGUACUAUAUCAAAAUCAAAAUCUUAUAUAUUAAAAUAGAAGUCACAACCUUGAUUCAUGUGUGUUUUUUUUUAAAAUGGACCUAAUGGACCUAUUCAUAGAAAUUCAUACUAUAUUUUAAUAAAUAUAAUUUUUAAAAUAUUUUAAUCAUAGUAUCUUUUGAUAUCUUUUCAUUUUAAAUAUAAAUAUAUUUAUUUUAAAAUUCUAACAACUCUGUUUAAAAAGAUUUUUACAAGAUCUUCAUUUUUGAAAUUAUAUUUAAAUAUUUUCACUAAUUUCGAAAUUAGUUUAAAAUAUUAUUAUACAUUAAUAUAUUCAGUUAUAUAAAAUGAAAAAUAAAAAAAAUCUAUAAUAUUUUAGUUAUUAUAUAAUCAUAAUCAAUCAUAUUAAAUUAAAAUUAUUAUAUUGAGCUAAAUAUAAUAAAAUUGUAUUAAAUUUAUAUAUUUAACAUAUCUAAAAAUUAACAUAUCUUACACUUUUAUAUAUACAAUAAUAAAUUAUCUAAAAUGAAUAAGCAUAAAAAUAUUGGUAAAAAGAAAUCUAGUUUUAAAAUACGAGUCAGAAUUUAGCAUAAAUUAAAUACAAAAUAUUUUUUAAAUAUAUUUUCUCAUGAAUAUAUUAAUUUGCUUAAUAACUAAAUGCAAAUACAAUAAGAUAAAUAUAUAAUAAGAAGUGGCAAAUACAUAAUAUUUAAACAAUUAAUUAAUUAUAACAUGUAAAUUAUAAAAUUAUUGUAUUUGAAAUAGUUAUAUAAAUAUUUAAGUAUAUGAUUAACAUUAAAAAUAUAUACCACUUAUGUUCUAAAAUAAUAAUUUAUGUAUAGAAAAGUGAAAACAAACACUCGUGCGGUUGCACGGGUCAAAAUCUAGUAUUGGUUUAAAUUAAAAGUAACAGUGACACAUGGACUGAAAUUAAUUGUUCCUUAAUUAAUAACCAACAUAAGAUUCAAUAAUAAUUAAAACGAAUGUAUUAAAUAUAAAUAUAUACUAUAUGUGUGUACAUAUAUAUAUAUAUAGCUUUCCUCUGCUUCCUCAUCUCUCACAUUCUCAGCGAUUAAUCAAAAACUUUCUCCGUCUUCAGGUUCGCUUUUUUCUUUACUCAGAUCUUUCUAAAAACAUCUCUUCCACAGUUUCUUAUUCUUGUCUGAAAAUUAUCUCUCAAUCUCAAAAAAAAAAAAAACAUAUGUAAUGGGUUUGUGUCUUUGAUUCAUAUCAUUCUCUUCCAAUACUCGGAUCUCACAUUUCUUCCUAAAGCUUGCAUCUUUAUUAGAUCUUCAUCUGUUGAAUUCCAAUUCUGGGUAUCGAUUCGUCUUGGAUUCUUCUUAGACAUUUGUUUCCUUUGUCCAUUGUCUUUCUUUUUGCAUCCGAUCUGAUUGACUCACGUCGGAUCUGGAUUCUCUUGUCUUGAUCUAUAUACGUCAGCAUUGUUCUAUUCUUACAUCAUUUUUUUUUAAUCUUUUCUUUCGCAUGUGUUGUGUAGUAGAAAGCUGUUUCAAAGUUUGCAACUUUUUAUUCCCUUGGAUCUGACUUUUCCUCUUCUCCUAUAAAUGCUUAGCACUUAGAUCUGCUCGUUUUGAUCUAUUGCAUGAUUUUUUUUUUUUGUGAAAUGUGUUCUCUGGAAACUCAUUUAGAUUCCUCCUUCUCAGGUAACAUUUGAACGAGUUGCUUAAUAGUACCAUGGGAUCCAUUGCUGAUGCUGCAAACAAGGUAAAUGAUUCCACACUUAGACAUGAACUCUAAUAAACAAUCUUUUAAAAAAAACAUACUAGUGCUUGUUCUGCUUUGUAGAUACAUUUGUUAAACCUAUUUUAAAGUUUGUCUUUUUGGUGUAUUUUUUUCUUACAGGAGGUUAAUGGAACCGCAAGUGAGAAGAGACCCGCUGUUAUUUUUGUCCUUGGUAAGUUCAGGAGGUCUUCUCAUGUGUGUUUGCUAAAACCGUUACUUUCCCGCCAUCAUGUUUGUGGUUUUUUAUGCUAUUAGUAAAAAAAAACCACAAACAUGAUGGCCGGAAAGUUAAGGACAAAACAGUAGAUUAUAUUGUUAUUAUGUUUAAUGAGAAGUGAUUUUUGGUCGAGUUUAUUGUAGAUUUUUUUGAGUUAGAUACUACUUUUGAUUCCAGGUGGUCCAGGCAGUGGGAAAGGUACACAGUGUGCCUAUAUUGUUGACCAUUUUGGUUACACACAUCUGAGUGCUGGAGACCUUCUCAGGGCUGAAAUUAAAUCAGGUUCUGAAAAUGGGUAUGCCCUUAAAAACUUUCUGGAAUUGUCUUAUAAAUCAGGUUGUUUAUUGAAGCGGUUCUGACUUUAUUUAUGUAAUUUUAUGUUUUGUCCUUUAAAAUGGUGGUGCAGGACUAUGAUCCAGAAUAUGAUUAAAGAAGGGAAGAUUGUACCUUCUGAGGUUACAAUCAAGCUUCUUCAGAAAGCAAUUCAGGAGAACGGGAACGACAAGUUCCUCAUUGAUGGCUUCCCUCGCAAUGAGGAGAACCGAGCAGCCUUUGAAAAAGUUGUAAGUAUAUUUACAUAAUUUUAAAAGAGUGUUAUGUUUUUUUUUUCUUUUUUUGCUGACACAGUUGCUUAAUAAUUACAUGCGUUUGAUGAUGUUUGUAGACUGGGAUUGAACCUAAGUUUGUCUUGUUCUUUGAUUGUCCUGAGGAAGAGAUGGAGAGGCGCCUCUUGGGAAGAAACCAGGUUAGUGUGAUAUGAAAAGCUCUGUUUCUUUUACUCUGUGUAGCCUCUUGUUUCAUGUAUGUUGAUUGUUGCAUCCGUUUCUGGUGUUGAAGGGGAGAGAGGAUGACAAUAUAGAGACUAUAAGGAAGCGUUUCAAGGUGUUUCUUGAAUCUAGCUUGCCAGUGAUUCAGUACUACGAAGCUAAGGGCAAAGUUCGCAAGGUGAAAAUCUUUUUUUCUUCUAGUUUUUUACUGUAUUACGGUCCAGCAAUUGUAAGUUGUAUAACAAAGUUUUGUUGUUUCUAAUACUUGGCUUUAGAUUCAUGCCGCAAAGCCUAUUGAAGAUGUGUUUCAGGAGGUGAAGGCAGUCUUUUCUCCUGAAGCUGAGAAGGUAAAAAAAAACAAUAGUUGUGCCAUUCUCUAAUAUAAUAGUCAAUAGAAAAUUAAAGACUACUAUGAACCACCUGUAAUGUAGAAGCUUGUAACUAAUGUUAGAGAUUUGAAUCAUGGAUUACAUGAUUGUGCUGUAAAGAGAAAGAAUCAUGCAGCUAUGAUGGCAUUAUUUUAUCACUUAAGUUAUUGCUAAGAUUCUCAAGUUAACGAUUCUGUGAACGUUUUAUUUAGGUUGAAGCCUAGGCAGCAGCAUCGUAAAGAGAUACCUGAUACAUUGGUCAGGUAUGUCUAGCAGCCAAUGAUGGUUGAACGUUUGUUUAUGUGUGUUCAAACACAACUCAGCUUUUGAUCUGUAAAAGUAAAAAAAAAAAGCUACUUGAAUCUGAAAUAAAAGGCUGUGUGGAAGCAUGUUCUGAUGUAUCUAGUUCUGUUAUAGAAUCUUGAGGACUAAAUGAGUAUGUGAUGGUGAUGAUUAAUGUCUGUUUCCUUUGAAACUUUGUAUAGGUAAGCUUAGGGGUUGCAUCUUUACAAGGAAGUCUCUGCUUGGUUGUAUUUUUUCUUCUUCUAUAUAACCCAUAUGAUUACUGUUAUUAUUAUUAUACACCUCUUUACCUAUUAUAUAUUUUUGUUUUUUUUUGUAUUUGAUGAAAUUUUGUGAUUUGUACUUUCUGUAAUUUCAUUUGAACUAAUGAGAUUUUAUAAUCCUUUUAUAAUAUACCUAGAUUAAUGAAAUCCGUGUGUUGUGUCUUGUGUGGUCUUUCUUGUUGUUCUUGUUCCCAUUGUUUAUUUCUGCUGUAACUUUUGUUUUUCACCAAAUCCAUAUUAUUGAGCUAAGUAUCGGAAAGAGUUACAUAGUGUAAAUAAAUACAUCACAUGUCUUAUUCAGUAAAAUAAAUCAAUACUAGUAAGCUACUCUAGUUUGAAAUUUUUAAUGAGACCUAGGAUAUGACUUCAUUUUCGUUUUGCCAGACAACAACAGUAACUUAAUAUCUGACAUGAUUCAAAUUCAGAGUAUUUUUCGUCUCAAAUCUUUCUUUUAACUAUCACUACUUGUUACAUUUUAAAUAUAUUUUUGACAACAAAUUUUUUACUAACGAAUUAUUAAUGGUUCUGCAUCUCAAGAGAUCUCAGUUUCAAAUUUCAGAAAAAAAACGUUGUUAAUGGAGACAAUAUUUACUUUACUGGUUAAGGAUUAUGCAGUCAUAUGUGCAUUUUUGUAAGACAAGUGUAUUGACUAUCGGCCACGGAAUCGUCAAUAUAAUACUUUUUUAAUAGUUUAUAAUAUCAAAGUUAAUUAGGAGAAUACAAAUCCUACAUGAUCUGAUCAUUUCGAUCAUGUACUUGCUAUAUAUUUUCAUAGUUUUAAUAACUCUUUUCACAAUAUGAAAAUCCAACAAUAGUUAGCCAAUCCUAUUUAUGUCAAACUACACAGAAAUCACAAAUCUCUAUUCAAAGUCAAACCAAACAAAAAUAGCAAACAACAAAAACACCACACACACAAAUAUACUAAAUAUAGAGGCAAAGAUUUAGUAUAUAAACGCCUUCUUCUCCAUCCACCUAUUUGCACAUCUCAUAUCUAUCAAUAAUAAUUAAAUAAAACACAAGUCCUAAUAAACUUGUAAAGAGAAAAUGGCGGGAAAAAUGUGUAUGGUGAUGGCACUUAUCAUGAUGGGGUGUGUUUUACAAGCAUGCAAUGGAACCAAUGUUGAUGAGAGCCAACCAACAGAAGAUUCAAAGCUCGUUUGCUUCAGGACCUGUUCCAUAGCCUGUGGCAAACAAAACAAACCUUGUUACGAUGAAUGUUUGACCAAAUGUGGUCUCCCACAACGACCAGCAACACCUUCAUCACCUUCUACCACCGCUUGAUCUGAUCUAAUUUAUUUGUGAUUUGUGUCCUUACUGCCGAGGAUGUCAUCUAUAUUCUUUUGUUU